UCCUCAGAAGCUCAGUGGUAGAGUGAUCGAUUAUUAACCGAUUGGUCGUAGGUUCGAAUCCUACUUGGGGAG
rnacentral:tRNA from 1 species